GAAAUCAUAAUUGCACUUCUCUCUCUCUCCUCAAAACCGAAAACACACACACACACACCUACACAUUUUUGUUUUUUCAUCAUCUUCUUCAAGAUCCAUGUUCAUUCCAACCUAGUUUCUAAGGUGUUUGAAGAUCCAAGGGUGUUUUUCAAGUGAUUCCAAGCAUUUGCAAGCUCCAUAUCAUCAAAAAUCUCAUCAAAACCUACUAAUUUUCUUAAAGGAGCGAAUGUUUGAUGUGAGCGAGCUUCACUUAGGGCGACUUGGGCCUUAGAAAUCUAAAAUCAAGAAAGUUAUCAUCUUUUAUGUUAUGUGUUUUGUUUGAUCUAUGACAAUGUAAUAAUUUAAACUUGUAAAACUUAACUUUAAGUAUCAUGUGUUUUGAAACAAUAAUUCUGCCACACGACUCCCCGACGUUUCCGCGGCGGUUUGUUGUUUUACGUGGUCGGGGUGUGACACCCUAACCCUCAAGAAACCAUCAAAAUUGAAAGGACUUUCAGCUCAAAUCUUCUGCAUGAACAAGGAUUCUCGAUCACUCAGCUCUAUAAACCACUUGGUAAGUUGUAAAUUCUGAUUUGGUGAUUUUGUAAGAAGUGGGUUUUCGAUCAAUCCACGAAUUAGUAUGAAAUUAAGCAUUAUUAUGUGCUAGAAUCGCCAUACGGAACAUGUGUUAUGCAUGAUUUUGUUCAAUUAGGUGUUUGGAGGUGAAACCCACCAUGGAUGAUGGAAAUGGCGACAUAGGUAUGCCACCCAUAUCCAACCUUUGUUUGAUUCUUGAUAUGCUAUGUUGUAUGUGACCAACUUGUUAGUUAUAUUGAACAUGAUAUGAAAUUGAAUUGUUAUUUGUAUUUUGGAUGAUUGAAAGCAAGAACUAGGAAGAAAAGUAUGAAGGUUAUCUGUACAUUAUGUUUAAAACUUGUACGCGCACCAAGUGUUCGAUGAAAUGACUAGGUGAAUUUAGAAGGUGAAAUUAUAUGCAAGAAAGUGGUAAUUAGAUAUGGAAUGUGUUAAAGAGGUGUUUGAUUGUAAAUUAACAUGAGAAUUGAGUUUAGACAUAGUUCGUUGCUAAGUAUGGAUCAUGGUGCAAGUGUAGAAUUAUGGAGGUUUCUAUUAUGGUGUGUACAUGAAAACCAGUGACAUUGUGAUUGAAUGAGUAUCUCACCAUGAGUGUACCAUAUGCUUGUUGAAAUAAUUAAUGGAACCCGAAUGUGAAAUGUGAAUUAAUAUGGUUGUUCUCAUGUAUAAUUUCAUAUGCUAACAAGUACGUGAGUGUAAUGAAACGAAAGUAUGUGUGAGUAAAUGUGUAUGCGUGUAUGAUUAUGUGAUCAUGUGGUUGUAAGUACAUUUGCAUCAUAAGUAAGAAAUGUAUAUAGUGUCAUAUGUAUAGCCUAAUAUGAUGUCGCGAAUAUAUGAGGUUAAGUCGAAAAUUUAUACAUUAAACCGUUGACUUUUGAAAGUCAACUGCACAUAAGGGGCAUUACUAGAAUCUUGUCACAAAUAGAAGAUCUUAGAAUGUCAUAUGGUGUGUUAAAUUAAUAUGCGUUUUAUGUGUUAACAUGAUGGAUUGUAUGAGUUUGAAAAGAUGUGAUUUUAGGUGUAUGCCUUAAGUUUGUUAGACUUGAGUAUGAAAGUCAAAUGCGAGUUAUGCAUUCGACAUGAUCAUUUAUAUGUAAAAUCAUGUAUACUAACAAGGAUGUGAUUGCGGUGACACGAAAGCAUUAGGUAUCAUGUGGAAAUGGACUCAAGCAAGAAAGACUAACGGGUCAAGAGGAGACAAGGAAGCGAAUGCGAAAACGGACGCUCAAGGUAGGAAUGAUUCUCGGGGCUGAAAGUAGCUAGUUACGUUGGAAAUAAAAUGGUGGAAUCGAACGGGUCGAAUAAUGGCACGAAGGAUCUUUAAGCCUUUUUCUUAUAAUUCAGCUUUUGAUGUGAGAUAGGAUGGUGAACGAAUCCGUAAUUAAAUUACGGACACGCAGAAACAAGAAUUACACAAAGCGGGCGCUUAGCUCAAAAGUUAUGUAAGUUUCAAGUUGAGUUUUGGUUGAAAACAUAGCUGGGCACUUUAUACAGCAACACAGGGAAGUAUUCUGUCGAAAUAGGGCUGUCGCACUACGCGACAACAAUUCAGUUUCACCGUCACGCAACGCGACAGAUGUCGCGCCCCCCGAGAGCCAGUUAGCUAGCAAAUCUUUUUUUUUUCUAGUUCGUUUCAGCAAGAAUUUUCACUCAACAGUUGGAACGUUCACUCGUCAGCAAGAAUGUUCACUCAACAGUUGGAAUGCUCACUCGUCAGCAAGAUUGUUCACUCAACAGUUGGAAUGUUCACUCAUCAGCAAGAAUGUUCACUCAACAGUUGAAAUGCUCACUCAUGAGCAAGAACGUUCACUCAAAGUAUGUGUGGGAAAGAAAUAAGUUUGGAGAUAUGUAUGUGUAUAGAUCUACCUACAUGUUAGUGACAGAAUCCAUAGGUAAGCAUGAAUUGAAAUGAACAUGCACGUAAGUUUGUACGUAUGAGACUUAUUUAUAUGGAUGUUUGU
rnacentral:lncRNA from 1 species